UCCACUAUUAAUCAUUAUCACAAAAAUAUUUCUCUCUCUAAUUUUCUCUUCCCUCUCAUCUCUCUCUUUUAUCUCGAGAUUCUCAACACCAUAACCUCCUCUCCCACCUCAUUCAUCCCUCAUCGGCCACCACUGCCCAAGCGGCCAACAUUGCUGUCUUCACGGUGGUGGAUCUCAAGAUGGCGAUGAUACCAACAUUUGAAUCUAUUCUUUCCCAUGGUGGCAGAUCUCAAUUGUUCGAUAGGUUGUUUUCGAAUAGAUCAAUGUUGCGAUUAGAUAUGAUUCCAUCUCCCUAGCCAGCCGCCGAGUCGAACUCAGGUUUGUGUUGAUUUAUGCUUUUGUACCAGAUUUGUUUAUAAAGUUUGUGAUGUAGAAGCCGAAUGAGAGUUUGUUUUAUUUUAUACUCUUUAUUUGUGAGUUCUAGGCUUUUUUGUUUCAGUCUGGAGGUGGUGGAGGGCAUUUAGUGAUGGCGACAACGAUGGUAGCCUUUUCGAUAUUUUAUUCUCUAGUGCUUGCGUUUUGGAAAUUGAUUCGUGUCAUUAUGUCAUGUAAUGUAUACUUUUAAUCUGUAAAAUAAUGGUCGACAAUGGUAGUAUAUUUCCUUUUGUUUGCUGGAUGGGUGCUCUACACAUACUAUUUGUUUCUGGCUUAUUAUGGGAAGAGGGAAUGUAUUUUUACUUAACCUCGAUUGCUGGAUUAUGGUUGGACUCAUAAAAUCAUCCCAUCUUCGACAUAAUAGCUGCAUGACAGACUCGGUGACAUAACAGUAGGAUAGUACAUUAGUUCGUUCGUGAUAGUGGCAUAACCUACUUAUCUUAGGUGUCACAGGUUCAAAAAUAAUAGAGAUAUUAUGUUUGAUUGACUUUCUUAUUUAUUAGGUCGAUUACAUUAAUGUUGGUAUACAAAUUAGUGGGUUUUUUCACAGAUUUCCCAUAGGAUCUUUGAUGGUUUUACCUCCUACUUCGACGGGUCCCUGGGGGAGUAGCUGGAGGACGCGCCACAUGAUUACUACGAUCGGAUGGAGGGGAUGCGCCACCAGUUUGCAAACCACUACAUGGACUACCACCGCCAGAGAUGAGGUCGUCAUGAUUAGAGACUUCGUUUUAUAGACCUCUACUUUAUUGGUAUCAGACUUUGUAUUAGAGACUCAUUUGUCUUUCUUGUUAUUGUUAUGCAAUCUGCUCGGUUAUUUCAGUUUAAUGGUAUGUCAGACUUCAGAUGUGCUAUUACAUCUUCAAAUAGCACUAAAUGUGUUACCAUUCAAUCAACCUCAUAAUUAACCUCGAAAAAAUUGAAAAAAAAACCUAAGGGGCUGGCACAACACCCGUUUCGGCCAGCA
rnacentral:lncRNA from 1 species